GAUGAAGAACGUAGCGAAAUGCGAUACGUAAUGUGAAUUGCAGAAUUCAGUGAAUCAUCGAAUCUUUGAACGCAUAUUGCGCUCUUUGGUAUUCCGAAGAGCAUGCUUGUUUGAGUAUCAGUAAACACCUCAACCUCUUCUUGAUUUUUCAAAAGGAGGGUGGACUUGAGCUAUCCCAACAACCUUUACCGGUCGGCGGGCGGCUUGAAAUGCAGGUGCAGCUGGACUUUUAUCUGAGCUAAAAGCAUAUCUAUUUAGUCCUCGUCAAACAGGAUUAUUACUUUUGCUGCAGCUAACAUAAAGGAUAAUUGUCCUCUUUGCUGACUGAUGCAGGAUUUUACGACACUUUAUGUGUUGUUCAACUCGAUCUCAAAUCAAGUAAGACUACCCGCUGAACUUAAGAAUAUCAAUAAGCGGAGGA
rnacentral:misc_RNA from 1 species